UCAAAAGUAACAGCCACAAAAAUGCCCCUCUGCUCCGCUGCUGCGGCAGCAGCAACCCACCUGACUGCCGGAAAAUCAAGAUUCAGCCUCGGAACCUCAGGUCAUGCGAUCUUCUUCUCCUCCUGUUCAUCAUUUUGCAGCAAGUAUUAUAGGCAACAAUGAAGAUAUCUGAACACAUCUUUUACUUUACUUCCUCCUUCGAUUUCGGUCAGUCUCCAAGCAAUGGCUCUCAAUCAUUUGCAGCCCCAUUUUCAGCCAGUCUCCAUUCUGGAUUUUAUUCCUCCACCACCACCACCGCAACUUGUUCCUCCUGUAAAGAUGCUGCGUUCGUUUUCGUUGAACUCGAAAGGGACAGGCUGAAUUUCAUCUCCUUCCUCCAAGACUAUGCAUGUUCAGCGGGUUAAUUUGUGUGAACCUCUCUGAUUAAAAGCUGGUGUCGCUCUGAAUCUAAAUGCUGUACCCUACAGUGCUGUAAGAGGGAUGCAUGCAAUCGAGGGGUUUUUCAAUGACAGUGAGAAACCAAGUAUUGGCGUAUCAGCUAGACUUCUGCUCAUUUCUUUGGUACAGGUUACCAUAAUUUCUUGAUCUGUGUGUCUUUAGAAAAUAGUCAGAGGAGGUUUUGAUGAUUCUUCAGCCCCAAAAGUAAAAUCAACAGCCAGAACCCAGCUCCUCUGCUGUAGCUGAAACCUAGCUGAUUGCCCAAAAAUAAAUUACUCAGCCUCAGAAUCUUAGUCAUGGAACCUUCUCCUUCUCUUCCUCUUAUUGAUUUUGCUGCACGUAUUAUAGGCAACAAUGAGGAAAUCUUAACUCAUCUUUUAGUUCACCUACCCCCAAAAUCCCUCCUCCAGUUUCAGUCUGUCUCCAAGCAAUGGUUCUCAAUUAUUUUCAUCCCCUUUUAGAUGUCUGCAUUCUCGGCUUUAUCCCAGCACCACUACCCUUAUUUUCGUCCAUCAUGGGCAGGGCAAGCUUAAUUUCAUCUUCUACCACCAAGAAAAUGCAAGUCCAUUGGGUACCAUUAUAUCCGACUUGAGCAAUUUCAGUUUCUUUCAAGAUGUGUACUUGGAGAAAUUACAUCGUUGCAAUGGGUUAUUAGCUCGUCUUUGGGUCAAAACUUUAUGGUCAAAAAAAGUUUGUGUAUAACCCUACUACCCGUGAGCAUAGGCGUAUUCCAAGGCUCAAAUCUAAUGGAAAGGGACCUUCGCUUUUUUGCUUUGAACAUUGUGUUUGAUCCUGUAAAAUCUCAUCACUACAAUCUUGUCUGUGUAUGGUCAGAGGAAUGUUGCAUGGAAAGGUAUGAAUUGAGUCAAGCCCCUCUAGGGAGAUAUGGAUUUUCUAUACAUUUAUCUGAAACUGGGAUUUGGAGGGACAGUGAGGUCACAUAUGAGAGGGAGAAAGUGUAUAUUUAUUUCACGAAUGGAGUGUUAUGGAAUGGUAAUCUUCAUUAGAUAAGUGGUUGGAGGGACACUCUGUGCUUUGAUUUAGAUAAAGAAUGCCUGAAUUUGACCAUGCCAUCUCCUCAUAUGCGCCAUAGGGAUGUGUAUUUUUGGUACUUUGGAGUGUCUGGAGGCUGUUUGUAUUUUAUUGAGGUUAAUAAUCAUCAAUCUCUGUUGUUUGACAUUUUUGAGAUGAAAAGGGAAUAUUCUGAAUGGGCUUUGAAGUACCACAUAGACCUUAUCCUCUGUCGAUUUUGUAUCCUUCAAUGGUGGGCGAAGUCCUUGGUCCGUUUGAUCAGGAUCUAUGUAGAUUUUACAUGUGUUGUUUUCUUGAGGAUGAGAAAGAAAAGAAACCGAGGCUUGUGAUCUCUCUGCCGGGUAAGGUAAUUUUGUACGACAUUAAGGAUGAGGAUGCUAAGGAGCUAGUUGAAGCAGGGACCAAUGAUAUUGAUCGUGGCUGGAAUAACUAUUUUGACUGGACAGAAGCCUACCAGUUCAUGCAGAUGCUUGCUAAUGUUUGAUUCCUUCCUGUAGCAUGCUCCUACAUGUUGAAGGGGCUGGCUUGAUGUACUUAAGAUCACUCUCCCAUUUGAAUAUUUUAAGAUUUGUAAAUUUGCAUGAUAUUUUUCACAAAAUUAAAUGUGGGAUUUAAGUUAUGGUUGCAGAAUGCUGGGGAGUAUGAAUAUUGUGAAUUGCUUGAAUCUUGCAUCUUACAGGUUGCUUUCGUUUCCUUGUUUCA